UGCUUUCUCAGGCAGAGCAUGCCCUGGCCUCCGGGUGACUCCCUGCUCCCAGGGCCCCGUUCAGCACUGUCCUCCGUGCAGCCACCAACAGGCUCGUGGAGAUGCUGAGUCGGUGUGGGACUCCCUGCCCCACAUUCCCGCGGCUCCCAUCCCCCGCGGGCAGGAGCAUGAACCCCUGGGCAGCCACGCUCUGCACCCUCAGGCGCCUCCGCUGCUGUCUCCAUCACUAUCACUCAGCCCCACUGGCCCCUGGACGAUCCUUGUGGUCCCCAGCUGACCCCCACCCCAGUGUCCUUGGCUGAGUUGGGGCCUCUGCGGGAAACCUCCCCUCAGAAGGGACCUGACUCCCUCACCUCGUUCAGGUGUUUGUUCAAAGACUAGUUUUGCAAUAAGAUCUUUCCUGAAUGCCCAGUGCAGCCCUGGUCCCCCACUCUGCCUCCUUCCUGGCCCUGCUGUCCCUAGUGCUCGUCAUCUGGCACGGGGAAUGUCCCUGAUCUUUGCAUCUGGCUUCCCUUAACCGCAGGCAGGGGGGCUUCCAUCCUCCCUCCUCAUUGUUCCAUUCUUAGUGCUUUGGACGGAGACUGAGUGGAGACUCCAUAAACAUGUGUCCAAGGAAAACGCAUGAAUGUUUCUACUUAUGAUGAUAUUAAUGACCACAAAAUCGGCACCCUGGGCAACGCUGCCUUCAGGAAGUCAGAGGAGUUUAUUUUGAGCUUAAAUAUGAACUAAUUUUCUGUCUCCUGAACGUUGCACUGUUCUACGGUGAUGAUGGGCAGCGUUUCGCGGUGACUGUUGCAUCCACCACCUUAGUUGGAACACUUGGAGCUUCUGGAUUUUCAUGCAUGUAUCUCUGCCUUCCUGAUCUGUUAAAGAAUGGAGAAUUGUCGGCUGCUAUUGGGUAUCUGACACAUUGUCUCUAUUUCAACCUGAUUUUUCCCUCAUGGAGUUUGAUUUCCCACUCUUUGGCACAUAAAGGUUCAUAACUGUCAUUUCCUUGUAUCGAAAUGAGCAGUUAAUCAAUAA
rnacentral:lncRNA from 1 species